ACAGAGACCAAUAAUGGAUAUCCCCGAGCUGAUUAAAGCAUCUUCCAUGGCCAUGAUCUCCUGGCUGCCUCUAACAAUGGAUGCACUCAAGCUGAUCGUAACAUUCCUCCAAGGUCGUGAGCCCUCAGGUUGCAUCUAUGUUGUAGGAGCGUGGAGACCACAACAGACACAUUGCACCAGAUUUAAGGAUUCUUCCCUGAUCACGAGCUCUAUCUAGGGUUGCAGCUCUGUUACAGGAGUCUGGAGACCAACAAUGGACCCACUUGAGCCGAUGUAAGCCUCUUCCGAGGCAUGCGGUCUCCAGUUGCAUCUAUGUUGUUAGGAACAUUGGAGACUAG